GCAAAGUGGAUGAAUACGUCCCUCUGCCCAAGAGAGAGCUGGAGAAACCCUUCCUGCUGCUAUCGAGGGAGUCUACUCGAUCCCAGGCAGGGGUACGGUGGUGACUGGCACUUUGGAGAGGGGUGUCAUUAAGAAGGGCGACGACUGUGAGUUUGUGGGGCACAACCGUGCCUUCAAGUCUGUGGUCACUGGCAUUGAGAUGUUCCACCAGUCUCUGGACAGAGCGGAGGCAGGAGACAACCUGGGGGCUCUGGUCCGAGGGCUGAAGAGGGAGGACAUUAGGAGAGGGAUGGUGAUGAGCAAACCAGGCUCCAUCCAGCCCCACCAGAAAGUCCAGGCCCAGGUCUGUAUCAUAUAAUAAAAUAAAGUCCA